UGCAAGUCGAGCGGAUGACGGGAGCUUGCUCCUGGAUUCAGCGGCGGACGGGUGAGUAAUGCCUAGGAAUCUGCCUGGUAGUGGGGGACAACGUUUCGAAAGGAACGCUAAUACCGCAUACGUCCUACGGGAGAAAGCAGGGGACCUUCGGGCCUUGCGCUAUCAGAUGAGCCUAGGUCGGAUUAGCUAGUUGGUGAGGUAAUGGCUCACCAAGGCGACGAUCCGUAACUGGUCUGAGAGGAUGAUCAGUCACACUGGAACUGAGACACGGUCCAGACUCCUACGGGAGGCAGCAGUGGGGAAUAUUGGACUA
rnacentral:rRNA from 1 species